rnacentral:rRNA from 1 species
GGUUCAGUAGGUUGGUCGUGCCACCGGUACGUAGUGGUCUCACUGAUUCCUCCUUCCUGAAGAACCGUAAUGCCAUUAAUUUGGUGUUGCGGGGAAACAGGACUGUUACUUUGAAAAAAUUAGAGUGUUUAAAGCAAGCUAACGCUUGAAUACAUUAGCAUGGAAUAAUGAAAUAGGACGAUCGAUCCUAUUUUGUUGGUUUCUAGGAUUGACGUA